rnacentral:lncRNA from 1 species
GUGGAGGUUCCCAUGGUGGAAGAAAACACUUUUCCAUACAAUCAAUAGGGCUUUGGCAGAGGAAGAUACAAUCUACUAAAAAGAAAUGUAGAUAAACUGGGAGAAGGGGGAGCACUAAAUGUAACUUUAGAUGAAGUGGCACCAAUAAUUUGGUGCUGGUUUGGACGCAGGUGCUCAGGAGGGGUGACCCGAGGAUGUGGGGGGUGAGGCUUUCUCCAGGCAAAGCCUCCUCUCUCCAGCCUGCACUUCACACCUGGAAAUAGAGGCAUCCUUAAGAAAAUUAAUGUUUCUUUUGUGGCCUCAGGAGUGGUCCAGCUUUUGAGAGGCAUCACCCAGCUCCUGACAGCACCACGGGGCUGGAAUCUCACACCCUUCACUGUCCUAAAUUCUGAGAAUUGAAUGGACAGGCAGAAACAAACCAAAGCAGUCAGGCCAAGAUACCAUCAGCCCCGAGUCGUGUUCUCCUCCAGGAGCAUCCAGAGCCAGGACACCCCUCUGUGCACGCAGGAGAAGGGCUUCCCUGAGCAUGCCUGGAAAAAAUGUUCCUGUUUCCAUGAAAAAACGGGAUGGAAUCUCCUUCAGGCCCUGCUGGCAGUGAUGCUCCUGUCACCUCCCCACGUUCCUCCUGCUGGUGUGGGAGCUCGGGGUGGGAAGGAGGAGGGCACAGGGUGGGUCUGAGCCACCUCAGGUUGGAAGGGGAGUCCUUAAAUCUGAGCCUGUUUGGCAGAUAAAGCUCCAGGCUGCCAGGGACAUGGUGUCUGGUGAUGCUUUUAGCAAGACCUCUGGGAGGGGUUUGUCCCACUGCCUGGUUUGUCCCCUCAGGGUGAUGGACACCCUUGUGUAGAGCUGGUUGUUUGCAUGGGGGAUGUCUAAAAGUCACUUUUUAGUCAUGAACACUCACAGGAUUAGAGCAUGGAGAAACUGGGCUUUGAACCACUUCAGAUCCAGCUUCUCCUUGGCACCGUGUGCCAGAAGCCCAAAAUCACCAUUGUUUAGCAGAAGCAGUGGGUGGAGGUGGGAAAAGGAGGAAUGUGGCCUUGAGCAGGACUGUGGGGAGCCAUCACUGACCUGACAGGAGAACCACACUCCUUGUUCUGCCACGGCAUCACAGGUACAUCCCCGGCAGCCACAGCAGUGCCAAAAAUCCGCAUUUGGCUGAAAAAAAUCAGGAGGAUUUAAAUGUUCCAUUCAGGGGCCAUGUGCAGGGACCCCUUGCAUUAGACCAGGUUGCUCCCAGCCCCAUUCAACCUCCCCUGCACAUUUCCAGGGAUGGGCAAUCUUGCAGCCCUGCUGUCCUUGUCACUCCAACACAGCGGUGGCAGAGAAAGCGACGCCUCGUUUGUGCACGGUGAGGAAGGGGUUGUGGAAAAAAUAAAUCAUGGGAAGCCGGUCAUAAAUAUCCUCAUUUACCUCUUCUGCCCCCACCCUCUCUUCAAUCACUAUUCUGUGCAGGUGAUGGAAGGAGUUCAGAAAUGUUAAUAGAUAGCAAAGUGCUGGUGUGUGUUUUAUCAGCUCUCCUGGAACGGUUAAUGCUGAUACCGUGCCCCUUUCAAGUCUAAAAAAUCUGGGCAAGCGUGUGCAGAUAGCAGGGAGUGCACUGAACAAAACAUCAAGGAGAAGAGUCUGUAGGGGGGAAUGGAAAUGGUAAAAGGAUUAUAGGAGAGAAAAUGUAUCGGACUUAUCUGGCGAUACUCGGUAACAAAAGUGUGUCAGUUUAUGAAAUGAACUUCAAAUCCCAUAAAACUAAUUGUGUGUUUUCUUGUCUUAUUUGUGAGUAUCUCUGGCAGUGCUUUUCCCCCCCACUGGAAAAGCAUGUCUUUGUGUGGAUAAUACCCUGUGCCUGCAGUAUAUCAGGAGAUUACACAGCCCAUCGGGUUCGUACCUCUUAAACUAAUGAUGUUAAACUAGUUUAUUAAAAAAAAAAAAAAAAAAAAGAGAGAGGGGGGGGGGGGGGGGGGGGGGGGGGGGGGGGGGGGGGGGGGGGGGGGGGGGGGGGGGGGGGGGGGGGGGGGGGGGGGGGGGGGGGGGGGGGGGGGGGGGGGGGGGGGGGGGG